rnacentral:lncRNA from 1 species
UAUAUGUACCGGGUGUCUCAAAAAAAAGUAUCGGUGUUUGAUUUGUUAUACCGUUAAAACUGGACAAGGAGUUUCAAUCAAAUAGACUUCACUGAAUUCAGAAAGGCCUAACUUAAAUUUUGAUAUAUGACUUGAAGAUAUUUGAGCAAUAUUGAAUGAAAUGCUACAGUUUCAUUUCGAAGAAGCAAUUUUGAAAAUGCCCAAAAUUAUAUUAAAUCGGCCUAUCAAAUUAACAUUUAAUUUAAUGCUGUUCUUGUCAACACAACACACGAUAAAUACUGAAUAUUUUCACAUUCGAUGAUUUAUUCAUCUGAAAAAGCAUGUCCUUGAACACCUAUACAACGUCAUGCUCUGUUAACCAUGCCAGAAAAAGCACUUUGUAUCAUUUGUGCAUCUAAACUUUGGCACGCUAAGAUAACUGCCUGGCGGAGAUGUCUCAAAUUCCUAUAGGCUGCUGCUCAUGCGGGACGUUCCAGAUUUGUUGCUUCAAUUCCAACUUUGGCAUUCGAAUUUUUCAUUUCCCAC